ACACCGACGGCGAUGGGGUUAUUAGCUUCACGGAGUUUGCCGCCGUUAUGGCCAAGUCCGCCGCCGACUUCCUUGGAUUCGCCGUUUCCUAGAUUCGCUGGAAGGACUUCAUUGACUUGGUGACCAGCUCAGCCGGUGUCCCACCUGGGUUUAAUAUGAUAGGGUGUUUGGGAGAUGGUUGUAACUUAUAGAUUCGCCAGAAGUAGUUCAUGGAUUUGGUGACCAGGUCAGCCGGUGUCCCACCUGGUUUUAAUAUGAUAGGGUGUUUAUGGUUAUUGUUAGGUUUGUAAUAAAAUGUACAUAAGGGAUGAUGGGAUUGGAAGAUGGCUGUAACUUGUAAGGC
rnacentral:lncRNA from 1 species